rnacentral:lncRNA from 1 species
CUUCGGUUUCUAUAACAUCCGUUUGGUCAAACCGGAGAGAGUGUAGAAACAAGAAGGUACUUUACAGAGCCUAGCAUUUCAAUUUAGAGAGAUUUGGUCUUCGCGUUAAUCGGUUUUCGGAGCUCCGAAUAGAAUUUACAUCGACCCGCAUGGGAGGUAUUUUUUUGCUUUGAAAUUUUUAUCGAAGUGGUUUUGAAUUGGAAGUGGAGAUAUGUACAGUGGAUCCAGCGACGGAGAAGGGCACGAUUCAUCGGCGCCGAGGAAAAUCCCUCCUGUCUCUUCCAUGCUAUGGGUCCGAAACCUCCGCCGGUACAUCGGAUCUGGUGCCGGGCUUGGAUCUGAAUCUUUAAUGGGUCUGUAAUUUCCUACCACUCCUCUAUUGCUAGUUGUAAUAGUAUUAUAUGUAUGCUUUUACAUGCUUUUGAUUGAUUGCAAGAAGAGACAGGAUUCAGUAG